ensembl:lncRNA
GGACUGUGGGAUUCAAAUAAAAGCUCUGGAUAUUUUGACCAAUUUCCUAACACUACUGCUGGCUUGGAGCCAACAGUAUUACUCUGGAGUUCAUCAGAGUGAGCCAUUUCCCUGCUGCAGACAGCCAGCACAUUCCUCUCUGCAGUCACCCGGCUAACCAUGCAGGUAGAGUCUUUAUACAGUCAGUGUUUGGCAGAGUCUCAGCAAUGCUGUAAGCCAUUCCACCUGUGUUAGAGACUGUACGACUGUUCCUCCACUGUGAUCGACCCUGCCAUCUCUCCUGCCUACCUACCUGUGGCCCCACAUCUCAGUGUCCAGCUUUCACGGCAUCCAUCCCCUUGUCUUUGAAGAGGUGGAGUGGAUCACCGGAAUCUUCGUCCUCUGGGUUGAUCAUCCCAGCCGGCUAGCAACCCUGUGUUAGCUAGAUUGGCUGUGGUUAAUGCUAGGUCGCUGGCAAAUAAGACCUUUAUUUUGAAUGACUUCUUCACCACUUGUGGCUUGGAUUUUCUCCUGGU